UGGCCCGCACCCUUGGCCCUGUCAGGAGCGAGCAGGAGCGGGGCCUCGGGGCUCUGGUGCGGCAGCCUGUGAGCUGGGACUUGAAGGACUUUUAAUGUUUGGGUCCCGAAAAGUGGAGCGGGUGGAACUUUCUAGUUGCCCCUCGGGAUAGGAAGAUAACUGGUGCUUCCGCACCACCUCCACCCAUCCUUUUCCUGGAAAGGCUCGUACAGAUGAGUUUUUUAUCUUUUGAAAGAAAAAAGGAAACUGGAUCACAGAUAAGUUCCAGAGUCCUUAAAUGUCAAGGUCCUAGUACUUUUACAAAGAUUUUCAGUGUUCCGGAUUCAUUCUAGGUCGUCUACAUAGUGUUUCUAUUCUCCUGCUUCCUGUGGUCAUAAAUUUUCAUUCAUGUUAACAUUUUGGGGACUCCAAAGGAGAAUACAUUUUUCUUCAAAAACACCAAUCUUCAAUUUAAGGAGAGAGAUCAGUGUUAUCAGCUGGAUUUUACUUCCUUAAAUAGGCUGAAUGCCCAGGAGUUAAAAAACUAAAGACUCCUAUGGUUUACCCUUCUUUGACUCCCAUGCAUUCAAUAAAUCAUCAGGUCUUGGUUUUCUUAAAGGAAGCCUUUCUCAUUUUUCUUCAUUUCUGGGUCUUCUGUUUUCAAGCACUAGCUUUCAUCUGAACAAUUCCCAGAAUUUCUUUACUGUCCUAAGCUUUCAUUCUCAUAACCUCCAUUCCGUCUUCUGCACUGCCCUCUGCUCCUUCUAGUGCUUGAUGUCAUCGUCACCUUUACUGCUUAGCAUGACAUACAAAGCCCUUUGUACUGUGACUCAUGCCUGCCUCUUCCCACAUACUGCCUCCCCUCCUGGGCAUAUUUUCCCCUCUACGUGGAAUGCCCCUUUUUGGGUUGGUAGGGAAUAUCCCGUUUAUCAUUCAAAACCAAGCUGAUAUCCCCUUUCCUAUAGAGUUAAACUAAUUCCUCUGUACUGUACUUGCCCUCUUUAAGUAAGUCAAGAUAAAACCAGAACUGGAUGAUAAAAACAGAUUUUAUUCAGGACUAUUGCAAUAGGAGAAAGAGGUCCAUAUAGAACCAGGCUCCAUUCUGAAUAUAGUGUAGACAAGCGGGAAUGUAUGCCCAAGGAGCAGGGAGGGGAGUCUCUGAUGGAAAAUUACUUAGAGAAAUCAUCAGCGGUCAGGGGACAGUUUGCAGGGGAGUUCUGGCUAAACCAGCCUAACAAUUUUUGAUUUUGAGACACCAGGAUGAUCAGACAGGCACCUGAGGGAUGGUGGAGGAUGAGGAACCUUGAGUAUCCUCCCCAUCGAGGUGGUUAUAGGAACUUAACUUUCCUCCCAGCAGGUACCACUUGGGUUGUAUCUCUUCUCCUCCUUUCUGCUUCUGGCUCUUGUAAGGCCCCAUAGUUGACAGGAAUUUCUUUUUCUCAUGCUGUCUCUAGUUGGGCCUGUAAUUAGGGAAGGAAUGGGAAAGGAAGAGUGACUUUCCUACCCUUUCUCCCUAACCCUCAUUUAUAGGUGCUCCCUACCCAAUCUCAUUUAUAAUCUCUAUUCUGGUGAGAACACUGCUGUACUCUACAGUUUUCAGUACAGCCUGGCAUCAGGCUUUCUGAGGAAAUGUGGAAAUGAUGGGGGAGCACUUGAUCUAGAGCUGAAUCCAUGCCCACAUCCAUGACAUCAACUAUGUGACAUCUUCUUCUGAAGUUGUUUUGUCCAGUAAAAGGAUUAACGUAUUUGAAAUUUGCACAUUCCCAAAAAAGACCUGGCACUUGCCCAGCUCCUGGAAGUACCCUCUAAGCUGUUGGAAUAUCCUGCUUGAUAAAAUUGUCUUUUAAGGGGCCUUUGGGCGCCAUCAUCUCUAGGUCAUGCUAAACAAUAGGAUUUAUGAUGAAGAGUCACACUCGAUGAGUUUGACUUCUGAAAGGAUUGAAUACUGAGUAACGUCAGCACAUGACUGACCCCCUAAAAACCUUGGAUACCAAGACUCGGAGGAGCGUCCCUGGUUAGCAGUACUCGCACACGUUGUCGCACGUCAUUGCUGGGAGAGUUAAGUGCUGUCAUUACAACUCCACUGGGAGGAGACAACUGGAAUCUUGCACCUGGUCUCCCCUGGUUCUGCCCUAUGUGCCUUUGCUUUUCUAGUUUUAAUCUGCAUCCUUUCAUGUUUAAGCAUUUGUUAUAAGGCACACACAGCAACAAGACAUGGUUAUAUCUCAUAACCAUGAAUAUAACAGCUUUUCUGAGUCCUCCUAGCAAAUCCCUGAACCUGGGGACCACAGUACAGUGUGGUCAUCAGUUAUAUGUCAAGAAUUAAUCUUCCAUUAGUAACAGCAUUUAAAUUCUAAGUAGGGAGAGUUGUAGAGGUUUUUUUGUUUUUUUAAGGAUUUUAUGUACUUAUUUUAGAGAGGGAGCAUGAGCCUGGGGUGGGAGUGCAGGGGAGCAGAGGGAGAGGGACAAGCAGGCUCCGUGAUCAGCAGGCAUCAAUCCCACGACUCUGAGAUCAUGACUUGAGCCGAAGUCAAGAGUUGGGUGCUUAACUGACUGAGCCACCCAGGUGCCCCUGUGUGCAUGGCUUUAAAAAAAGAACCCCAUGCUCUUGUUUGUUACAUGCUUUUCUUGCUUCCCUACCUCUGCCCACCAUCACUACCCUAGUCUUUUUAAGGAGAAUAAUUUAAAAAUAAAACUAAGGGAAGAGAUUUCUUUAAAAAUACAAAUAGAAGUAUUAGGGAUGAGGUAGGUAGGAAUCACGUAACUCUUGUUGCUGUGUGUGCCUUACAACAGAUUCUUAAACACUUUCAUUUUAAGACCCCUUUAUUCCCUUAAAUUAUUGAAAACUGCAAAGAGAUUUUGUUUGUAUGUUUUAUCUUCAUAAUUUAAAAAAAAUUAAAAACUUGGUCUGCUUGGAUCUACAGUAAUGUACAGUAAUGUGAAUGAAUCAGUAAAAAGUAGAUUGAAAAGGUGACCAGCAUGAGUAACAUGGUAUCUAUGGAAAAAUCUACUCCAGCUUCAGAAUACCUGGCUUAAAAUGAUCUUUCAUAAUGGACUUUCUUUCUUUCUUUCUUUCAUGGGAUUGUUUUAUCCCACAUUCUUGGGAACUCAGUGGUGACUUGUGGGUGAACCAUCUCUUUUGGUAAAUUUAUAAUGAAGGAAAGUAGCAUCCAAGCUAAAUGGACCUGUAAGAUGUAUUUUGUUAUUUUUUGUUGUUUUGGUGAUACUUGCAAGUUCUGAAGAAGUAACCCAUCAAAAAUUCUACAUAAUGUGCUCAUAACUCAUUUUGAAUAUUGCGUUCUUCCAAUAAAAAGUACCCAUC